rnacentral:tRNA from 1 species
GGGUUGCUAACUCAAAGGUAGAGUACUCGGCUUUUAACCAACUAGUUCCGGGUUCGAAUCCCGGGCAACCCA